UAUUGGCUAAUCUAGAUUACAUAAAACCUAACUAAAACAUACACACACAUACAUACAAAAGUUCAAGGAAAUUAGUUGACGGAGUUGAAUUAAGUUUUCAAAGUCCUAACUCGUUUAUACGAGUGGUUUUAAAUUCAGCCUAGGAGAACACCAAGCAGAGAAUCGGUCUUAAUUUUACUGCUUAACUUAAUUCUACACCAGGUCAGCUGAGUGGAAGAUUUUGUUCGUUACUUGCGUUCUUUGGCUUGACAGCUGAAAGCAGAGGUGAUUCAGUCGCUGUAUCGGACUUCUUGGAUGUCUGUUGAGGGGAAUUCCUUCGCUGAUUCGCUGAUUGGUUGACGUCGGAAUGACGUAUGGGUGACGUCCUUUUGGGGAACCCCUCUGGGAGUAGUUGGUUCUUUGAUGACACAGAGGCUGGAGCAGUCCUGCUAAAAGUCUGAGUUUGAAAGAAUUUCAAGUUCUCUGAAGAUCGCGAAGUUCUUAGAUGGUCUUGCUACUGCGGUGGUAUGGCAUGGCGCUUGUUCGCGCUCACCAAGGUGCAAGCCAAAACGUCUUGAUCGGG